rnacentral:lncRNA from 1 species
UUUCCUCCAAAGCUAGACGAAGUGAUAAGAUCUCGUCCAGCUGCUGGAAUCUUUCUGCCUCGAGCCUAUUAACAUUGGACUCAGCUUCUUCUCUUGCCCUGUCUGCCAUGCUCCUACUGGCCUCUAUGAAUCCUUGCAUUACCCAGAGUUUCUCUUCAUAUUCAUCUAUUCUUCUGGACUGCUCUCUCAUUAUUUUCUCCAUGUCGUGUUCCCUUGCUAAUGUCGCCUUCUUGUACGACUCCUU